CUGGUAGUCCACGCCGUAAACGAUGAGUGUUAGGUGUUAGGGGGUUUCCGCCCCUUAGUGCUGGCGUUAACGCAUUAAGCACUCCGCCUGGGGAGUACGGCCGCAAGGCUGAAACUCAAAAGAAUUGACGGGGACCCGCACAAGCGGUGGAGCAUGUGGUUUAAUUCGAAGCAACGCGAAGAACCUUACCAGGUCUUGACAUCCCUAUGCCCGCUCUAGAGAUAGAGUUUUCCCUUCGGGGACAUAGGUGACAGGUGGUGCAUGGUUGUCGUCAGCUCGUGUCGUGAGAUGUUGGGUUAAGUCCCGCAACGAGCGCAACCCUUGAACUUAGUUGCCAGCAUUUAGUUGGGCACUCUAAGUUGACUGCCGGUGACAAACCGGAGGAAGGUUGGGAUGACGUCAAAUCAUCAUGCCCCUUAUGACCUGGGCUACACACGUGCUACAAUGGAUGGUACAAAGGGCUGCAAAACCGCGAGGUGGAGCGAAUCCCAUAAAACCAUUUUCAGUUCGGAUUG
rnacentral:rRNA from 1 species